GCCCCGGUAGCUCAGUUGGAUAGAGCAUCGGACUUCUAAUCCGGCGGUCGCAGGUUCGAAUCCUGCCCGGGGCG
rnacentral:tRNA from 1 species